UCCCAGUGCUUCGUGAUUCUACAAUUCUUAAAUCCAAGGUUGUAUUUUCACAUUGCCUUGGGCAUAUGAGGUAACUCAAUUUGUGUUAUAUAUUGGUAUAGCGAUGAUCUUAUUUUUCUAGAACUAAACAAUUAUCCUAGUCUAGUUGCAUGUUUUGAUAAAACUCGUCAUAAAAUUUACGAACUUAUCUAUCUGAAAACAGAUGCGCAUUUCGAUAAGUUAUAUCUCAUCAAUGAUGCUCGGAGCCCAAAUAUUUAAAAUUUAAAAUUGGUAAUCAGAGCGAAAAUUGUAUUACAUAGUAAUGUCCUAACC
rnacentral:lncRNA from 1 species